CAGACUGCAUUCGGAACUUCACUCAGCAGGUGGCGUAAAGACUUGAGCGACACAAAGUGUCAGACAAUCUUCAAAAUCAUCAGACAUUUGUCAAGAAGAAUCCAGGAAUAGUUAACAACAAUGGCCGGUGCUAAAAUAUCGUGGUACGACAUGGUUGAGGAGCAUGACUCAGACGCCGAGGCGUUGAGGGCUGAACUCCAACAGCUUCUGAAAGCAAAAAAAGUCAACGCAGCUUGCAUGGCUCACCUCCAAGGAUUUGAGAAGAACCUCAAAGGACCUCUUGAAAGAGAAGCAGCCAGGCGCUGUACUCGGCUGGGGACAGAGAUUAAAAAGAUUGAAUCUCCGUCAAAACAACCUGUGGAAAUCAGGUGCUCCAUCUAUGAGGAACAGAGUCCACCAGAACCGAUGGAGAUCAGUCGUCAUCAGCGUCUGAGCUCUGAAACGUGGGGCUAUCAGCCAGUGCAGCGUAACCAGCCCAUUCCUGCUUGGAUAGCUCAAGAAGAGGAUCCCCUCGUACUGCAGAUUACAUUGGCCAUGAGCUGCCUCUCCAUCUAGAAUUAGAGUCCUCCCAAACCUAUGGCGAUCAGCCCUUCCAUCUCUGAGGACCAGAGUCCACCAGAACCUCAGCAACUCAGCCGCUCCACUUGCAGGAAUAGGACUGCACUUUGAGGUGCAGUUGCCGAACACCUCAGGGACCUGUGAGGCAAAGGGACACUUCUGAAGCCCCACAGAGUGGAGACUAAAGCCAACACAGCCCCCUGUGUUGGCUUUAGUCAACUCUGUGUUUUGACCGCGUGGGCAGAGGGUGCGGGGGGCCCCCACGGGCCCCCCAGGGCCCACGCUUAGUACUACUGAUCUACCUUUCGACUGAUUUCAAUUUUGGGUGGGCCUUUUAGUUACAAAAGCUCAUACUGUUCGCUGUCCUUCAUUCUAAAAUAUUUAAGUGCCGACAGAGGAAUAUGUGACCUUUGGAUAAGUGGAACAUGCCGGUGUCUGCAUGGCUGACAUCGUGCAUAAAUUAAACAUAGUAGGCGAUCCAAUCUAUCAUUCCUUUUCUUUUUUUCUUGCUGUGUAUUAUGAAGACCAAUACAUCCAUUCAUUGAAAACACUGACGUUAUUUCAGGAAAUGACACCAAGCGUUCUGGCUGAAAAAAUAUAAGAAAACCAAUGUUUAACUUUCUGCUAAUGACUGACAACCAGUCCGAGUCAAAGUCUGUUGAUCGGGACCUUUGAGAUCCCAGCAACUACUAUUAUUAAAGGAGGGCUAGGCGUUUUUUGUGAGAAGCACUUUCUGUCAUAUUACUUGAAACUCAUGUCACAUACCGACAGCGAUGAAUACAUUGAAUGAUCUGACACUGAAACGAAUAGGGUACAGCAAGUUGUACAUGAAGAAGUCCAGGACCUGGAGGUUGUCUGCCACGGACCAGAGCAAUGAGACCAGACGAUCCCGUCAACAGCGAGAGAAGCAGGUCAGCAGAGGACCAGGACUACUGCCUAAGAGUCGAUGACAGCGCAGCCUGAGCCAUCAGCCGACAGACCAGCUUUGACACUAGAGCUAGGAAACCCUGUGCAGAGUUUCUUCCUGUUGUUUAUGCUAAUAUUAUAAUAUAUAUAUUUGUUAUAUUGUAUGAUGUUCCCAAAAAAUAAACAGGUGUCAUGACACAUUGUGUUCUCAUUAUUUGUGCAGCUUGUAAAGAGGUAAAUGUAAUGGUUGGAUUGUUUAUGCUGUGUCAUGAUCUUGUGUCGGUCUUUGAGAGGGGGGUUUCGUCAUGAUCUCGUGUUUUGUAUUUCCUGUUUUAUUUUGAAUUAGUUUUGGUACUUCCUGUUUCCCUGGCUCGCGUCUGUUCACUUUGUUUUUCCUGUGUCUCCUGCCCCUGUGAUUGUCUGCACCUGUU